UACAGAGGGUGCAAGCGUUAAUCGGAAUUACUGGGCGUAAAGCGUGCGCAGAUGGUUGCGUAAGUCAGAUGUGAAAUCCCCGGGCUUAACCUGGGAACUGCAUUUGUGACUGCACAGCUAGAGUACGGCAGAGGGGGAUGGAAUUCCGCGUGUAGCAGUGAAAUGCGUAGAUAUGCGGAGGAACACCGAUGGCGAAGGCAGUCCCCUGGGCCUGUACUGACGCUCAUGCACGAAAGCGUGGGGAGCAAACAGG
rnacentral:rRNA from 1 species